GUGUAAGAUCAAGGCUGUCAGGAUCACCAUAAAGAAUCACAAAGAGCAAGAGAGAAAGCACGAUCAAGAGGAGCGGGGUCAAAAUCCUGUGACUUAGCUGUGGCCGUAACAAUACACAUGACAAAGUUUGAAUGAGAAAGUCCAUCUAGGAGAGAAAGUCAGACUCUGGACCUUGGAAGAUCACCUCUGCCAGAAAUCAUAAGCAAAAUUCUUCACCCCAGAGGCUCCAAUCUCAUUCCAAACCGGAAGUGAAGAUAUCUAUCACUGGGCGAGGCAGCGCUGGACCAGCGGGAGGAUGAGAGUCAGUAAUUGCUAUUCUGGUUGUUCAGCUCUGACAAUAAACUCAUAACUGCAGCUCGGUGAGAUGCACAAAGGAGAGAAAGACAAACACAGGCCCAGGGCUCCUUAGGAGGUGCUUUCAGAAACAGGAUGAAGAGUGUUACAGAAACUGAAGCCCAGUGUCAUGAGCAGAUAAACAGUCAGUUCUCGCUCCCUGCGAGUUGCCUAGGUGAUUUGCAGAAGACCGGGGAAUUGCUUGAUUCCCCUUUCCUUUCAAACAUAGAUGAAGUAAUUAAAAACCUGCCCCGGGAGAAAGUUCUUGGCCCUGGCGGAGCUACAGGAGAUUUCUAUAAAACCUUUGGCUUAGCUCUUUCUGUACAUCUACUUGAUGAGC
rnacentral:lncRNA from 1 species